AAAUUCCUUGAAGAAAUAAUCUUGGCUCUUUGCCAUUUUCUUUACAUAGGGCUUAGUCCUCUUGUCCAUUGCUAGUUGGUGGUCAACUAACAUCAAGCCCUUGUUCUCCAAUAUGUUUCUGUAGUAGUUGUUGUCUAGCUUCAUUGGUGUGCCUCUGUCAUUUCUCACAUAUUGCACAGCCUUUGGGUCUGGGAUUGGGUCAGGACAUUUCUUGAGCAUGUGAGGAACAUGGUCUGGGUUGAGUUGAGGGUCUACUUCUGGAUACAAACGGUGAACCAACUUCACACAGUGUGUUCUUCCCACACUGUGAGCCCCUGUUCAAGACCAAAUGACACAAAAUAAGCUUUGAUUUUUUCACUCAGAUAACAAUUAAAAAAAGUACCAGUGUACUAAGCUCCCGCUAUACAAACAACUAUGCAAGGGUCAGACCACGUUUGGUCUAUUGUACGAAGUCUUAGACUGUUUCCAUGACUUGAAACAAUGACCUUAUGGUCCCGUGAACACAACUUUUACCGUUGUGCAAGGCUCCCCUUCACAGUCAAAUACCAAUAGAACCAAGAAAUUUGAAGUGCUCUCUUUUUGUUUGUUGGGGUUUGGGGGGAUGUCUACAGUACCUAGCAAGGCAACAACUCCAGGAGUGUUGAUACCAACAUUGGCAAACCUCUCAAGAACAACACUCAUGCUUUCAUUGUGGUCUGGGAGGUGUUGCUCAAGAAUGUCUGCUCUGCUCUUCCUUCCAUCUCUUCUUCCUGUUUUGAG
rnacentral:lncRNA from 1 species